GUUGGGGCGUGUGGGGUUGGGAGUUUGCACGCGCCGCUCUAAACCCUAAACCUUUCUCCAUCCACUGUGGGGCAUAUUGUGGGGUCUUUAUCCGACGUUUCCCCCGUGCGGUUAAAACAAGAAACGUCGAUGCACAACGCGUGUGAAUUUCUCAAGUUGACUAUACUGCCCCUGAGAGGUUUGUAGGUGGUACUGCCAACAUCUGACAGGUGUCUCGCAGCUACUGGUCGUCCUCGCCUCUCAAGCACCCCCAAUUUUU
rnacentral:telomerase_RNA from 1 species